rnacentral:rRNA from 1 species
AGAGUUUGAUCAUGGCUCAGAUUGAACGCUGGCGGCAGGCCUAACACAUGCAAGUCGAACGGUAACAGGAAACAGCUUGCUGUUUCGCUGACGAGUGGCGGACGGGUGAGUAAUGUCUGGGAAACUGCCUGAUGGAGGGGGAUAACUACUGGAAACGGUAGCUAAUACCGCAUAACGUCGCAAGACCAAAGAGGGGGACCUUCGGGCCUUUUGCCAUCAGAUGUGCCCAGAUGGGAUUAGCUAGUAGGUGGGGUAACGGCUCACCUAGGCGACGAUCCCUAGCUGGUCUGAGAGGAUGACCAGCCACACUGGAACUGAGACACGGUCCAGACUCCUACGGGAGGCAGCAGUGGGGAAUAUUGCACAAUGGGCGCAAGCCUGAUGCAGCCAUGCCGCGUGUAUGAAGAAGGCCUUCGGGUUGUAAAGUACUUUCAGCGGGGAGGAAGGGAGUAAAGUUAAUACCUUUGCUCAUUGACGUUACCCGCAGAAGAAGCACCGGCUAACUCCGUGCCAGCAGCCGCGGUAAUACGGAGGGUGCAAGCGUUAAUCGGAAUUACUGGGCGUAAAGCGCACGCAGGCGGUUUGUUAAGUCAGAUGUGAAAUCCCCGGGCUCAACCUGGGAACUGCAUCUGAUACUGGCAAGCUUGAGUCUCGUAGAGGGGGGUAGAAUUCCAGGUGUAGCGGUGAAAUGCGUAGAGAUCUGGAGGAAUACCGGUGGCGAAGGCGGCCCCCUGGACGAAGACUGACGCUCAGGUGCGAAAGCGUGGGGAGCAAACAGGAUUAGAUACCCUGGUAGUCCACGCCGUAAACGAUGUCGACUUGGAGGUUGUGCCCUUGAGGCGUGGCUUCCGGAGCUAACGCGUUAAGUCGACCGCCUGGGGAGUACGGCCGCAAGGUUAAAACUCAAAUGAAUUGACGGGGGCCCGCACAAGCGGUGGAGCAUGUGGUUUAAUUCGAUGCAACGCGAAGAACCUUACCUGGUCUUGACAUCCACGGAAGUUUUCAGAGAUGAGAAUGUGCCUUCGGGAACCGUGAGACAGGUGCUGCAUGGCUGUCGUCAGCUCGUGUUGUGAAAUGUUGGGUUAAGUCCCGCAACGAGCGCAACCCUUAUCCUUUGUUGCCAGCGGUCCGGCCGGGAACUCAAAGGAGACUGCCAGUGAUAAACUGGAGGAAGGUGGGGAUGACGUCAAGUCAUCAUGGCCCUUACGACCAGGGCUACACACGUGCUACAAUGGCGCAUACAAAGAGAAGCGACCUCGCGAGAGCAAGCGGACCUCAUAAAGUGCGUCGUAGUCCGGAUUGGAGUCUGCAACUCGACUCCAUGAAGUCGGAAUCGCUAGUAAUCGUGGAUCAGAAUGCCACGGUGAAUACGUUCCCGGGCCUUGUACACACCGCCCGUCACACCAUGGGAGUGGGUUGCAAAAGAAGUAGGUAGCUUAACCUUCGGGAGGGCGCUUACCACUUUGUGAUUCAUGACUGGGGUGAAGUCGUAACAAGGUAACCGUAGGGGAACCUGCGGUUG